GGCUGAGUACCCCGUGGGCAACCUGCCCCCUCCACCGGGACAGCCUCGGGAACCCGUGGGUAAUACCGGAUACUCCGGGACGGCCGCAUGGCCGGCCCGGGAAAGCCCAGACGGGAGGGGAUGGGCCCGCGGCCUGUUAGCUAGUCGGCGGGGUAACGGCCCACCGAGGCGAUUAUGGGUAGCCGGGUUGAGAGACCGACCGGCCAGAUUGGGACUGAGACACGGCCCAGACUCCUACGGGAGGCAGCAGUGGGGAAUCUUGCGCAAUGGGCGGAAGCCUGACGCAGCGACGCCGCGUGCGGGACGAAGGCCUUCGGGUCGUAAACCGCUUUCAGCAGGGACGAGGCCCUCACGGUGACGGUACCUGCAGAAGAAGCCCCGGCUAACUACGUGCCAGCAGCCGCGGUAAUACGUAGGGGGCGAGCGUUAUCCGGAUUCAUUGGGCGUAAAGCGCGCGUAGGCGGCCUGUUAGGUCGGGGGUCAAAUACCGGGGCUCAACCCCGGUCCGCCCCCGAUACCGGCAGGCUUGAGUCUGGUAGGGGAAGGCGGAAUUCCCAGUGUAGCGGUGGAAUGCGCAGAUAUUGGGAAGAACACCGGCGGCGAAGGCGGCCUUCUGGGCCACGACUGACGCUGAGGCGCGAAAGCUAGGGGAGCGAACAGGAUUAGAUACCCUGGUAGUCCUAGCCGUAAACGACG
rnacentral:rRNA from 1 species